rnacentral:ncRNA from 1 species
AGAAUGGUAUUGUAAAGCCUGAUGACCUCGGACACUCGUAGAGUGUCAUAGCUGCUGCUGAAAUGUAGCGGGUGAAAAUGAAAUCAGGGCUCAGGGUGAGCCAUUCA